rnacentral:rRNA from 1 species
CCUGCCCACUGAUAAUAUAAGUUUAAUGGCCGCGGUAUUAAUAACCGUGCAAAGGUAGCAUAAUCAUUAGUCUUUUAAUUGAAGACUCGUAUGAAUGGUGGGACAAAAGGAAAACUGUCUUCUUUAAUAAAAAUUGAAUUUAACUUUUAAGUGAAAGGGCUUAAAUAUUUCAAAGGGACGAUAAGACCCUAUAAAGCUUUAUAAAGAAUAAAAUUUAAAUUGAAGUUUUUAUUAAAAAUUAAGGUUUAUAUUUUUAUUAAGUUGGGGCAACUAAGGUAUAAUUAUGAAUAACUGUUUAAUAUAUAUAAUCAAAUAUAUUUGUUUCAAGGUUAAAUGAUCCUUAUUUGAAGGUUUUUAAGAUUAAGUUACUUUAGGGAUAACAGCGUUAUUUUUUUUGAGAGUUCUUAUCUAAAAAAGAGUUUUCGACCUCGAUGUUGAAUUAAAAUUUCUAUAUAGUGCAGUUGUUAUAUAAGAGGGUCUGUCCGACCUAUAAUUUUUUUUGUGCGCCGAGA